rnacentral:rRNA from 1 species
ACUCCUGCGGGAGGCAGCAGUGGGGAAUAUUGCACAAUGGGCGCAAGCCUGAUGCAGCCAUGCCGCGUGUAUGAAGAAGGCCUUCGGGUUGUAAAGUACUUUCAGCGGGGAGGAAGGUGUUGAGGUUAAUAACCUCAGCAAUUGACGUUACCCGCAGAAGAAGCACCGGCUAACUCCGUGCCAGCAGCCGCGGUAAUACGGAGGGUGCAAGCGUUAAUCGGAAUUACUGGGCGUAAAGCGCACGCAGGCGGUCUGUCAAGUCGGAUGUGAAAUCCCCGGGCUCAACCUGGGAACUGCAUUCGAAACUGGCAGGCUAGAGUCUUGUAGAGGGGGGUAGAAUUCCAGGUGUAGCGGUGAAAUGCGUAGAGAUCUGGAGGAAUACCGGUGGCGAAGGCGGCCCCCUGGACAAAGACUGACGCUCAGGUGCGAAAGCGUGGGGAGCAAACAGGAUUAGAAACCCUUGUAGUCCCAUGA